rnacentral:lncRNA from 1 species
UUUCAUUGUGAUGAAACUUUAAUGACAUUGGGGCUGUUUAGAAGACAUAGAAACAAUUGCAUGAGGGAUGGAAUAACAAAUAUUAUGCCUCAAUACUCCGAACAUGCAUUAUAGCAAAGCGGGGUUUCAUUCCUUCUAUCUUUCUACAAACCUCAAGUUCUUGGAACAUGUCAGUAAUCAUUCAAUGUAUAAACGACAAAUGAUAAUUAAGGAAACAUGAAAUCCUUUAUUAAAUUCACUUGUGUACUAGCAACUCAAUUUAGUCAUGCCUGAUGACAGCUUUACCAGAGGG